rnacentral:rRNA from 1 species
CGGGAAUAUUGCGCAAUGGAGGAAACUCUGACGCAGUGACGCCGCGUGCAGGAAGAAGGUUUUCGGAUUGUAAACUGCUUUAGACAGGGAAGAAAAAAGACAGUACCUGUAGAAUAAGCUCCGGCUAACUACGUGCCAGCAGCCGCGGUAAUACGUAGGGAGCAAGCGUUGUCCGGAUUUACUGGGUGUAAAGGGUGCGUAGGCGGCUUUGCAAGUCAGAUGUGAAAUCUAUGGGCUCAACCCAUAAACUGCAUUUGAAACUGUAGAGCUUGAGUGAAGUAGAGGCAGGCGGAAUUCCCCGUGUAGCGGUGAAAUGCGUAGAGAUGGGGAGGAACACCAGUGGCGAAGGCGGCCUGCUGGGCUUUAACUGACGCUGAGGCACGAAAGCGUGGGUAGCAAACAGGAUUAGAUACCCUGGUAGUCCACGCUGUAAACGAUGAUUACUAGGUGUGGGGGGUCUGACCCCUUCCGUGCCGGAGUUAACACAAUAAGUAAUCCACCUGGGGAGUACGGCCGCAAGGUUGAAACUCAAAGGAAUUGACGGGGGCCCGCACAAGCAGUGGAGUAUGUGGUUUAAUUCGAAGCAACGCGAAGAACCUUACCAGGUCUUGACAUCCAACUAACGAAGUAGAGAUACAUUAGGUGCCCUUCGGGGAAAGUUGAGACAGGUGGUGCAUGGUUGUCGUCAGCUCGUGUCGUGAGAUGUUGGGUUAAGUCCCGCAACGAGCGCAACCCUUGCUAUUAGUUGCUACGCAAGAGCACUCUAAUAGGACUGCCGUUGACAAAACGGAGGAAGGUGGGGACGACGUCAAAUUAUCAUGCCCCUUAUGACCUGGGCUACACACGUACUACAAUGGAUGUUAACAGAGGGAAGCAAGACAGCGAUGUGGAGCAAACCCCUAAAAACAUUCUCAGUUCAGAUUGCAGGCUGCAACCCGCCUGCAUGAAGAUGGAAUUGCUAGUAAUCGCGGAUCAGCAUGCCGCGGUGAAUACGUUCCCG